AUUGAACGCUGGCGGCAGGCUUAACACAUGCAAGUCGAGCGGAGAUGAGGUGCUUGCACCUUAUCUUAGCGGCGGACGGGUGAGUAAUGCUUAGGAAUCUGCCUAUUAGUGGGGGACAACAUUCCGAAAGGAAUGCUAAUACCGCAUACGCCCUACGGGGGAAAGCAGGGGAUCUUCGGACCUUGCGCUAAUAGAUGAGCCUAAGUCGGAUUAGCUAGUUGGUGGGGUAAAGGCCUACCAAGGCGACGAUCUGUAGCGGGUCUGAGAGGAUGAUCCGCCACACUGGGACUGAGACACGGCCCAGGCUCCUACGGGAGGCAGCAGUGGGGAAUAUUGGACAAUGGGCGGAAGCCUGAUCCAGCCAUGCCGCGUGUGUGAAGAAGGCCUUUUGGUUGUAAAGCACUUUAAGCGAGGAGGAGGCUACUGAGACUAAUACUCUUGGAUAGUGGACGUUACUCGCAGAAUAAGCACCGGCUAACUCUGUGCCAGCCGCCGCAGUAAUAC
rnacentral:rRNA from 1 species